rnacentral:lncRNA from 1 species
CCCAGAAGUCUCUAUCAAUCCAAAUCAUCUACCUUCAGGCCAUGAAAGAGAGGACCAGGAAGUAUUUCUGAGAGAAGGUCCAUUGAAAGAGAGCUUUCCUGGACUGGAAUUCCCAAGAGUAAUUAUUCUGCGGCAGCUUCAAUGACUGCCCCUGCUCCCCACAAAUUCAAGUCACAUAUAUGCUUCUGUUGGAGCUGGGGUUGUUUCCAUCAGAGCAGGUUUAAAGCGCACUCCAGGCUUGGGUGCUGAGCUGCAGAAACUUGAGGGCUCCUCCAUACACUCGAGAGCGUCGGCUGCGUUCUCCAGAGUUGCGGGGCCUCGUGAAGCGGCCGCUAGUGCUGAGUCUUGACAGCAGAUGGGAAAGGUGGGCGGCAAGAGCCGGGGGAGGCAGCAGGACCGCCCUCCCGGGCGGGGCGGGGCCCCCACGCCUCAAGCAGGUGCUGCGCCGCUAAGCUCCAGUCGCCCUGCAGGGACCCGCUCAGCACAGGCAGCCUUCAGAGCAGGAAUGAGGAUGGCCAAGGGUUCGUAUGGAAGAGAAAUGGCCUUCGUUGGGGGUCCCAUACAGGACAUCGGAGAACUCCUAAGGGGACAACUAGGACGCCUGUCAUGGCAGGAAAAGGGAACGUAAUAGAAUGAGUUUGAAGGAAUGGUAGAAAAGCAAAUGAGAAACACCUUCUGCCUUAGUUGAGGUUGUCUGUGACAGCUUUCACACUACAGCAGCAGAGUUGAGCAGCUGCAACAAAGACCAAGACCGUAUGGUGUGCGAAGCGGGAAGACAGGUACUACCUGUCUCUUUACAGAAAAUGCUUGCCACUGAUUAAGGCCACCUCCUCUCAUAAGGUCAGAAAAAGACAGAAAAUCAUGCAGUUGAUAGGCAGGUGUUAAAGACGUAAAUCUGAAGGUCUGAAGAGUUCGUCCAGGCGAAUGACUUUCCCCACCAAAUGCAGAGGGGAAAGUACGUGAAAAGAGGGAAGACAAGGGUGUAAAGUUCCCUUGAUUUUGUCCAAGGCACUUCUGCCUGAAAAUGCCAACCAUGGAGGAACCAGGAAACACUUGGAUAUUGUCAGAAGCAAGGGUUUCCUUGGCACUCAGGCCCCUCACCUGGAGGACCAACUGGCCUCACUCUGUCUAGGCAGUUACCCGCUUCGUACUUCACCAUGAAAUGUGACAGCCAUCGCGGGUUUCAGUGUGGAGUUGACUCUUCCUUGCUCAGAGGUAUUUGAAUGACUUUCUCCCUGUCUUUCAUAAUUUUUCAGGUUUUUGAGUGCAUUCAUGAAAACUGGGACUCUAUGGCUUUUCGUACCCUGUCCUUAGAGUUAUCUCCUCCAUAAUAGGUAAUGACUUUGUCCCCUUUAAUAAGCUCAGCCUCACCUCAGACCCCAGGACAGUCCUGCUCUUAAUGAGUGAGAAAUUAAAACUGUUCAUGUGACACCGUUUAGGAAGCAUUUAUUGAGUUCCUUCAACAGACACAAUCUUUUUUUUUUCACCAUGUUGGCCAGACUGGUCUCAAACUACUGGCCUCAGGUGAUCCGCCUGUCCCGGCCUCCCAAAGUGCUGGGAUUACAGGCGUGAGCCACUGCGCCCGGCCCAAUUGUUUUUAUUUUGGAAUCUACAGUUUAAUCUGAAACAUCUCAUAGGAUUUCUCCUUAGAAUGUAUCCUACACAAAGGCUAACUGUGUAAAGCUGAGGUUUGUAAAGUCCCAUUGCAAAUGUUAUCUCUCUGGGCAUACUAUCACCAGCAUACUCUACACUCUGCCUCACUCCUUCCUUCCCUCACUUUCUCCUUCUCAUUCUGGUGUUGAAAUGUUAGUAAUAUUUAAGAAGCCAGGACGUGAAGUAACUGAUCAACCUUUUGCUCUUGGAAAACACUUCCAGCCUUGAAGCUCAAGAUUCCAGGAGUCUUAAGAAUUUCUUUCUUUAUUUAUUUUUUAUUAAACAAACAAUCAAACUUGGGUUUACAUACAUGUAUCCAGGCUAAGAAUACAAAAACUAAUUUAAAACGUCAAGUACCUCCCCUGGGCUAAAUUUUGGCUUACUUUAUGCCUGUAAUAAUAUAAAUACUUUUUGAAAAUUUAAAAUCUAAAAAUUUCCAGGCACAGCACUAAAAGCAUUGUUUGCAUUAUCCCAUUGAAACCUCGUGAAUGUAUCCUAGGAGGCAAUAUUAUUACUAUAUCUUUUAGAGAUGAACACACCAAGAGUUAGAAAAGUAAAUUUAAGUAUCUUUCUAAUUCAGAAAAGUAAAAUUAAGUAUCUAGAGAAGUAAAUGAUGGAAACAGAAUUCAAUUCCAAAUGUGUCUAACACCAGUGCUCAAACCAUUAACUAUACAUAUUCUGCUAUUAACUUAGAAAUAAAGACACACGGCUUCAGCCACUUCAUAGUUGCCCAGCAUUAGGCAAGUUCACUAACUUUCAUUUUUUUCUCUGCAAAAUGAAAACUGCAGUGACAUUUACCUUCUAAGAAGGUUGCAUGAAUUAAAUACAACAAUAACAUGAAAUUAGAUAUACAGUGUAUGGCUAAUUGAAAAUUACUGUUUUUUUAACUUAGUAAAUCCAGUUGAUUCCGCCGAUUCAGUAGAAAAAAAAUUUCAUAACAUCCAAAAAAUAGUAAAAUGAAUAAAAAUUUUGGGGAAAAACAAAUUUCCUGAAUGCAGUCUAGAAGUAACAGUUUAGCUUCUUAGUCUUACUUCCUAUAUUUAGGCAAAUAAACUCCACUGGAAAAAAGUAUGAUACAUUUGUUUCCAAAUUUAAUAUUUGAAGAAAAUAUACACAUACAUAUUUAUUCUUUUAAAAAGGCUCCCUGGGGCCAGGCAUGUUGACUCAUGUGUAUAAUCCCAACAUUUUGAGAGGCCAAAGAAGGAGGAUGGCUUCGAACAGGAGUUGGAGACCAGCCUGGGCAAUAUAGCAAGACCCCAUCUCUUAAAAAAAAAGUUUUUUUUAAGGCCAGGCUCGGUGGCUCACACCUGUAAUCCCAGCACUUUGGGAGUCCGAGGCGGGAGGAUCACAAGGUCAGGAGAUUGAAACCAUCCUGGCUAACACAGUGAAACCCCAUCUCUACUAAAAAUACAAAAAAUUAGCUGGGCGUGGUUGCAGGUGCCUGUAGUCUCA